CUGAUCCAGCCAUGCCGCGUGUGUGAAGAAGGUCUUCGGAUUGUAAAGCACUUUCAGUUGGGAGGAAGGGUAUUNACCUAAUACCUUAKUGUCUUGACGUUACCNACAGAAUAAGCACCGGCUAACUYCGUGCCAGCAGCCGCGGUAAU
rnacentral:rRNA from 1 species